CCUACGGGUCGCUGCAGUGGGGAAUAUUGGACAAUGGGCGAAAGCCUGAUCCAGCCAUGCCGCGUGUGUGAAGAAGGCCUUCGGGUUGUAAAGCACUUUCAGUGGGGAAGAAAGCCUUGGGGCUAAUACCCUCGAGGAAGGACAUCACCCACAGAAGAAGCACCGGCUAACUCCGUGCCAGCAGCCGCGGUAAUACGGAGGGUGCGAGCGUUAAUCGGAAUUACUGGGCGUAAAGCGCGCGUAGGCGGUCUGAUAAGCCGGUUGUGAAAGCCCCGGGCUCAACCUGGGAACGGCAUCCGGAACUGUCAGGCUAGAGUGCAGGAGAGGAAGGUAGAAUUCCCGGUGUAGUGGUGAAAUGCGUAGAGAUCGGGAGGAAUACCAGUGGCGAAGGCGGCCUUCUGGACUGACACUGACGCUGAGGUGCGAAAGCGUGGGUAGCAAACAGGAUUAGAUACCCCGGUAGUC
rnacentral:rRNA from 1 species